rnacentral:rRNA from 1 species
ACUCGAGUGGCGAACGGGUGAGUAACACGUGGGUGAUCUGCCCUGCACUUUGGGAUAAGCCUGGGAAACUGGGUCUAAUACCGAAUAUGACCACGCGCUUCAUGGUGUGUGGUGGAAAGCUUUUGCGGUGUGGGAUGGGCCCGCGGCCUAUCAGCUUGUUGGUGGGGUAAUGGCCUACCAAGGCGACGACGGGUAGCCGGCCUGAGAGGGUGACCGGCCACACUGGGACUGAGAUACGGCCCAGACUCCUACGGGAGGCAGCAGUGGGGAAUAUUGCACAAUGGGCGCAAGCCUGAUGCAGCGACGCCGCGUGAGGGAUGACGGCCUUCGGGUUGUAAACCUCUUUCAAUAGGGACGAAGCGCAAGUGACGGUACCUAUAGAAGAAGGACCGGCCAACUACGUGCCAGCAGCCGCGGUAAUACGUAGGGUCCGAGCGUUGUCCGGAAUUACUG